UACGUAGGGUCCGAGCGUUGUCCGGAGUUACUGGGCGUAAAGCGCGCGCAGGCGGUCCGCGAGGUGUCACGUGAAAGCCCCGGGCUCAACUCGGGAGGGUCGUGGCAAACCGGCGGACUUGAGGCCGGUAGAGGUGGGUGGAACUCCUGGUGGAGUGGUGAAAUGCGUAGAGAUCAGGAAGAACACCCGUGGCGAAGGCGGCCCACUGGGCCGGAACUGACGCUGUAAAACGAAAGCCAGGGGAGCAAACGGG
rnacentral:rRNA from 1 species